UAGAGCAGGGGUCGGCAACCGGCGGCCCGCGGGCCGCAUGCGGCCCGUGGACUAACUCAGUGCGGCCCGCAAGCCUGAGGUCCGUAAGAAAAAAAUACCAAAGCAAAAGGCCAUAUUAUACUAAGCCAUAUAGUUAAGAUUCUUGAAAGCUCGCUCCCACCUGAGGGUAAUAAAAAAUAUAAAAAUGUACCUAACUACUUAUUUCAUAUAUUUGCUGUACUUAUUCAAUUCUUGGAAAAUUAUUUUGCGUUUAUCCGCCGCACGUGGCCGUCGGUGCAGGCAGGCGGCUUCUUUGAGACAAUAGGCGGCGGCAGUCUUUGAUUAGACGCAGGUGUGCGGCGGCGAAAAAUUCAAAGCGACCGGCUUUAGUUGAAAUAACAGCCGCGCGUGCAGCUCUCGCCUCAUUCGGUUGUGGAAAUUUGCCGGAAACUCACGUCUCAUCUGGUUGCUAGCUUCUCGUUUCACCAUUCUUCAGCAUCUCACGCACGACGUAUGAGGAUAAUUAUACAAACAUGGCUUCAAGGAAAAGGAAGAUAGAAGA